GUGUAAAUCUUGUGGGAGCCACGAAAUGGGUCAUUUUAAAGAUGUGGUCACGGUGUUCUUACGAGAAAUCUUAUUUUCCUUUGGUCCUUGUGAAGAUGCUGUGAUCACAAAGGCAGCCCCUGGAGCUUCUCCGGGCAGAAGAGGAGAGAAGCUGCUGGUGAUCACUGUGGCCACAGCUGAAACCGAGGGGUACCUGCGUUUCCUGCGCUCUGCGGAGUUCUUCAACUACACUGUGCAGACCCUGGGCCUGGGAGAGGAGUGGCGAGGGGGUGAUGUGGCUCGAACAGUUGGUGGAGGACAGAAGGUCCGGUGGUUAAAGAAGGAAAUGGAGAAAUACGCUGACCGGGAGGAUAUGAUCAUCAUGUUUGUGGAUAGCUACGACGUGAUUCUGGCCGGCAGCCCCACAGAGCUGCUGAAGAAGUUCGUCCAGAGUGGCAGCCGCCUGCUCUUCUCUGCAGAGAGCUUCUGCUGGCCCGAGUGGGGGCUGGCGGAGCAGUACCCUGAGGUGGGCACGGGGAAGCGCUUCCUCAACUCUGGUGGAUUCAUCGGUUUUGCCACCACCAUCCACCAAAUCGUGCGCCAGUGGAAGUACAAGGAUGAUGACGAUGACCAGCUGUUCUACACACGGCUCUACCUGGACCCAGGACUGAGGGAGAAACUCAGCCUUAAUCUGGAUCAUAAGUCUCGGAUCUUUCAGAACCUCAACGGGGCUUUAGAUGAAGUGGUUUUAAAGUUUGAUCGGAACCGUGUGCGUAUCCGGAACGUGGCCUACGACACGCUCCCCAUUGUGGUCCAUGGAAACGGUCCCACUAAGGUGCCACCAGUGGUCUCAACCCCCGCCCCGCCCUGCCCCAACCCCCAGGCACCUCCAACCCUUCUGAGAAGCUGGCCCUUCCCAGCCCCCAUAGCAGAGGUGCCUGACCCCCACCUCCACCCCUGGAGGCCUCAGCCACUCAGCCUCAGUCUGUCCCCAACAGCUGCAGCUCAACUACCUGGGAAACUACGUCCCCAAUGGCUGGACUCCUGAGGGAGGCUGUGGCUUCUGCAACCAGGACCGGAGGGCACUCCCGGGGGGGCAGCCUCCCCCCCGGGUGUUUCUGGCCGUGUUUGUGGAACAGCCUACUCCGUUUCUGCCCCGCUUCCUGCAGCGGCUGCUACUCCUGGACUAUCCCCCCGACAGGGUCACCCUUUUUCUGCACAACAACGAGGUCUUCCAUGAGCCCCACAUCGCUGACUCCUGGCCGCAGCUCCAGGACCACUUCUCAGCUGUGAAGCUCGUGGGGCCGGAGGAGGCUCUGAGCCCAGGCGAGGCCAGGGACAUGGCCAUGGACCUGUGUCGGCAGGACCCCGAGUGUGAGUUCUACUUCAGCCUGGACGCCGACACUGUCCUCACCAACCUGCAGACCCUGCGUAUCCUCAUUGAGGAGAACAGGAAGGUGAUCGCCCCCAUGCUGUCCCGCCACGGCAAGCUGUGGUCCAACUUCUGGGGCGCCCUGAGCCCCGAUGAGUACUAUGCCCGCUCCGAGGACUACGUGGAGCUGGUGCAGCGGAAGCGAGUGUGAGUCCCGCCAGCCUGCAGCCCCCC
rnacentral:sRNA from 1 species